AGAAUCAACGCUGGCGGCGUGCCUAACACAUGCAAGUCGAACGAGAAAGUGGAGCAAUCCAUGAGUAAAGUGGCGCACGGGUGAGUAACACGUGACUAACCUACCCAUAAGUGGGGGAUAACCUCGGGAAACCGUGGCUAAUACCGCAUAACACCGAGAGGUCAAAGGAGCAAUUCGCUUUUGGAGGGGGUCGCGGCUGAUUAGUUAGUUGGUAGGGUAAUGGCCUACCAAGACGAUGAUCAGUAUCCGGCCUGAGAGGGCGCACGGACACACUGGAACUGAAACACGGUCCAGACUCCUACGGGAGGCAGCAGUGGGGAAUUUUGCGCAAUGGGGGAAACCCUGACGCAGCAACGCCGCGUGGAGGAUGAAGUCCCUUGGGACGUAAACUCCUUUCGAUCGGGACGAUAAUGACGGUACCGAGAGAAGAAGCCCCGGCUAACUUCGUGCCAGCAGCCGC
rnacentral:rRNA from 1 species